AACCGUGAAAAGUGCCCAGGAGCGGACUGGGGCCUUCAGACAUGGGCGCUGACCCCUGUCACUAUCAUUUACAUCUUCCUUGGACUCUGAGAGUGUUUCCACAGGCUUUCAGCUGUGAGCUUUUGGGGUCCUGCAGGGGGAGCUCUGGGGUCUCAGGCGUGGUGUGCAGUGGAAAGAUGCCUGCCCGCUGCAGGAGCCUAGAGCUCACAGUACAGCUGCCUGCACUCCUCUACGUCCUAGUCCCGAGAGGAGGAGGGUGUGACCAUUGCCUUCGUUAACACAUUGUCAACAGUGUGGGGGAAAGAGUCCAUGUGGAUAUUUCUGGAAUAAAGUGUAGACGCCUGGUUGUUGC